CUACAGAUCCACAAACUGCAUCUUACCAAACCAAGGAAUUUAAGAGCCUUAAAAGCUGGACCUUAAGCCACACAAAAUUUUAAAUGCGUGUGCCACUCAAUGGUUGUCGUUGCACGCAGCAGUUGAGCGCGUGCUCUAACAGUGGGAUACUUUUGAAUUGUAAAGUAGUCCUACCGUCUCCGGGUGUUAUAAAAAAAAAAACCUCCCCCCCUCCCCGUGUUCCCCACUUCCUGUGUGUCUGUUCCCAAAACGCUCACUCCACAGUGGGUUUGCUGGCGUUGCUGAUUAUACUACUAGUUGAGGAGUGGGCUAAUAACAUGUCUCUCACACGCUCUUUACUUAAACUACAAAGCUGUGUUGGCCUACACUGUCCUAGAACUGUCUUAGGAAGAUUGCCCUGGAAUACAAAGUCUGUAGAUCAACUGGAUCCUCCUAAAACGCUACCAGCAUGGAGCAGUCGUACCAUGUCUACUGAUGGGCAGUCAUCUGGUAAUAUUGAAACUGCAUCCACAUAUACAGACACUUCCCAAUAUGAGCAUCUCACCAUCACUCUACAGCAUGGAGUUCGAACCAUCACUUUUAAUAGACCAGAAAAGAAAAAUGCUCUAAAUGAAAAGAUGUUUGCUGAGGUUGCAACAGCUUUGCAGGAGGCUGCUAAUGAUCCUAAUACCAUCAUUGCAGCCACUACUGGGGCUGGAAAUGUUUACACUGGUGGCAAUGAUAAAUCAAAUUUCCACCACAUGCCCAUGAUUGAAAUCCGAGAUCUUUUAACCAGACACAUGGCAGCAUUCAUUGAUUUCCCAAAGCCUUUGGUGGCUGUGGUGAAUGGUGCAUCUGUUGGUGUGGGUACCACACUACUGCCACUCUUUGAUGCUGUCUUUGCCACUGAAAAGUGCACUUGGCAUUACAGCUGAAGGCUGCUCUUCCUAUACUUUCCCUCUCCUCAUGGGACCUGGAAAAGCUGCAGAAUUACUCCUGUUUAAUAAAAAGAUUACAGCAAGAGAAGCAAGGAAGCUCGGUUUAGUGACAGAUGUAUACCCAGAUGCUACAUUCCAAGAAGAAGUGUGGCCUAGGAUUUAUGACAUGGCCAAAUUGCCUCUCAAGUCACUUGUGUACUCCAAAGCGC
rnacentral:misc_RNA from 1 species